AUAGUUUGAUUAGGGAUGAAAUUAGAAUUGUAAUUUUUCAGGACCAAGAUAAAGAAAGCAAAGUUUAUACUAAAAUACAAAAAAGCAAAUUUAUUUUAGGUUUAUUCAAAUUCAUAGUAAUAAGUUUAUUCUAACAUCUGUCACAAUAUUUUUCUUUUGUUUUUCCGCUUUGGCGAUGGCGAGAACGAGAGGACAGAGGAUGAGAGGAGAGAGCCCCGCAACGAGAUCGUCUGCAGUCGCUGCAGCGACUGUAGUCUGCAGUCAGCGUGUCUUAGCCGUCCGAUGUUGAUCCAACUGCAGUCCCACUAGGGUCAUCAGGCAGGCCAGUUUGAGAGGCCCAUAUAUCAGCCCACAGCACCGCACAAGACAUCAACUUCUUCUCUUUCGGUCUUUGCCUUCUGCUGUCGUCUCUGUCUCGGAUGCU
rnacentral:lncRNA from 1 species